AAGAAAAGGCUUUUUGAAACGCACCGUUUAAGUCUUUGAUCUUACAGGGAAGAACGCCAGAAGAUACCUCCAAAAGAGAGGAGGAGAAGGAUAGGUGACAAUGCUUAAGAAAGGAGAGGAAGAAGACGAGAAAAGAGAAGAAGCUAUAGCAUCAAACCCAUCUUUGCAGCCGAAUUUCAAGCCCAAACGUGUCACUCAAGACCAGCUUUCCAAGCUACAAGUAUGAGCUACACAAAAGGCGCUUACAAAUAAAAUCAAAGAUUCAUAAGAAAUCAAAAGAUGGUACUGGCAAAUCUCAUGGAAAAGACCUCAAAAGCAAAAAAUCUCAUGGAAAAGACCUCAAAAGCAAAGAUACGGGCACGAACAUUGAAGACUCAGGUGCUCCUGACUUGAAACCCCUUGAUGACAAUGCCAGUUUCUCUACUCCACAAGACAAUGUGUCGGCACAUCAUUCAGAAAAGAAACGCCAGAAAUUACACUGGGGGCUUGAUACAAAGGAAAGAUGGGAGAGAAAAGCCAAUAUGUAGACGUCACUGGUUGUUUGAGACGCAGGGCACUUGAUCUGAAGUUCGCCUCUCAAAAUAUUUGCAAAAGGCGCCUGAAGUUCCGUUCCUAUAUUGGAUUUCAUUUACAAGCAUCAUCAUACACAAGCUCUUAAUGAUGUAACGAGGAAUAUAUUUAGAAGGGCUGGCAAAUAAGGACUAGGUGACUUGGAAAAGAUGGAAUAGAAAGUGUUUGGUUUGAAUGUAAA